rnacentral:rRNA from 1 species
UGGGGAAUAUUGGGCAAUGGACGCAAGUCUGACCCAGCAACGCCGCGUGAAGGAAGAAGGCUUUCGGGUUGUAAACUUCUUUUAAGGGGGAAGAGCAGAAGACGGUACCCCUUGAAUAAGCCACGGCUAACUACGUGCCAGCAGCCGCGGUAAUACGUAGGUGGCAAGCGUUGUCCGGAUUUACUGGGUGUAAAGGGCGUGCAGCCGGGAAGACAAGUCAGAUGUGAAAUCCCGCGGCUCAACCGCGGAACUGCAUUUGAAACUGUUUUUCUUGAGUAUCGGAGAGGUAACCGGAAUUCCUAGUGUAGCGGUGAAAUGCGUAGAUAUUAGGAAGAACACCAGUGGCGAAGGCGGGUUACUGGACGACAACUGACGGUGAGGCGCGAAAGCGUGGGGAGCAAACAGG